AAAAAGGAAACAACGCAUCCUAUAAGAUUUUACCUGCACACUGAGGCAAAUACUCAUCGGCCAAGUGAAACCUCGGAAACAGUGGAGUCUGGCAACACUCAGGAUUUUCAU